GUGGGGAAUAUUGGACAAUGGGCGAAAGCCUGAUCCAGCCAUGCCGCGUGUGUGAAGAAGGUCUUCGGAUUGUAAAGCACUUUAAGUUGGGAGGAAGGGCAGUAAGUUAAUACCUUGCUGUUUUGACGUUACCGACAGAAUAAGCACCGGCUAACUUCGUGCCAGCAGCCGCGGUAAUACGACGGGUGCAAGCGUUAAUCGGAAUUACUGGGCGUAAAGCGCGCGUAGGUGGUUUUGUAAGUUGGAGGUGAAAUCCCCGGGCUCAACCUGGGAACUGCCUCCAAAACUGCAUGACUAGAGUACGGUAGAGGGUAGUGGAAUUUCCUGUGUAGCGGUGAAAUGCGUAGAUAUAGGAAGGAACACCAGUGGCGAAGGCGACUACCUGGACUGAUACUGACACUGAGGUGCGAAAGCGUGGGGAGCAAACAGGAUUAGAUACCCCAGUAGUCC
rnacentral:rRNA from 1 species